GAGUUUGAUCCUGGCUCAGAUUGAACGCUGGCGGCAUGCCUUACACAUGCAAGUCGAGCGGCAGCGCGGGGGCAACCCUGGCGGCGAGCGGCGAACGGGUGAGUAAUACAUCGGAACGUGUCCUGUCGUGGGGGAUAACCAGUCGAAAGAUUGGCUAAUACCGCAUGACCUCGUAAGAGAAAAAGCGGGGGACCGUAAGGCCUCGCGCGACUGGAGCGGCCGAUGUCGGAUUAGCUAGUUGGCGGGGUAAAAGCCCACCAAGGCGACGAUCCGUAGCUGGUUUGAGAGAACGACCAGCCACACUGGGACUGAGACACGGCCCAGACUCCUACGGGAGGCAGCAGUGGGGAAUUUUGGACAAUGGGGGCAACUCUGAUCCAGCCAUGCCGCGUGUGUGAAGAA
rnacentral:rRNA from 1 species